UACGGGGGGGGCAAGCGUUGUUCGGAAUUACUGGGCGUAAAGGGCUCGUAGGUGUCCAACUAAGUCACACGUGAAAUCCCUCGGCUUAACCGGGGAACUGCGUGUGAUACUGGAUGGCUUGAGUUUGGGAGAGGGAUGCGGAAUUCCAGGUGUAGCGGUGAAAUGCGUAGAUAUCUGGAGGAACACCGGUGGCGAAGGCGGCAUCCUGGACCAAUACUGACGCUGAGGAGCGAAAGCCAGGGGAGCAAACGGG
rnacentral:rRNA from 1 species